AAUAGAUACCCGGGUAGUCCAUGCCGUAAACGUUGGGAACUAGAUGUAGGGCCUGUUCCACGGGUUCUGUGUCGUAGCUAACGCAUUAAGUUCCCCGCCUGGGGAGUACGGCCGCAAGGCUAAAACUCAAAGGAAUUGACGGGGGCCCGCACAAGCGGCGGAGCAUGCGGAUUAAUUCGAUGCAACGCGAAGAACCUUACCAAGGCUUGACAUAUAGAAGAACACUGCAGAGAUGCAGGACUCUUUGGACACUUCUAUACAGGUGGUGCAUGGUUGUCGUCAGCUCGUGUCGUGAGAUGUUCGGUUAAGUCCGGCAACGAGCGCAACCCUCGUCCUAUGUUGCCAGCACGUAAUGGUGGGAACUCAUGGGAUACUGCCGUGGUCAACACGGAGGAAGGUGGGGAUGACGUCAAAUCAUCAUGCCCCUUAUGUCUUGGGCUUCACGCAUGCUACAAUGGCCGGUACAAAGGGCUGCGAUACCGCAAGGUGGAGCGAAUCCCAAAAAGCCGGUCUCAGUUCGGAUUGGGGU
rnacentral:rRNA from 1 species